rnacentral:tRNA from 1 species
GCUGAGAUGGCAGAGCAUGGUAAUGCAAAAGACCUAAGCUCUUUUAUUCAGAGGUUCAACUCCUCUUCUUAGCU